GGUAGCACAAGAGGCUUGCUCUCGGGAACAACGCCGCCACGGGGAGAGUAAUUUUGGGGAAACCGCCCAAAGGAAGGGGAUAACUAACUGGAACCGGUAGCUUAUACCGCAUAACGUCGCCAAACAAAGGGGGGGACCUUCGGGCCUCAUGCCAUCAGAUGUGCCCAGAUGGGANUUGCUAGUAGGUGGGUUAACGGCUCACCUAGGGGACGAUCCCUAGCUGGUCUGAGAGGAUGACCAGCCACACUGGAACUGAGACACGGUCCAGACUCCUACGGGAGGCAGCAGUGGGGAAUAUUGCACAAUGGGCGCAAGCCUGAUGCAGCCAUGCCGCGUGUGUGAAGAAGGCCUUCGGGUUGUAAAGCACUUUCAGCGGGGAGGAAGGCGAUAAGGUUAAUAACCUUGUCGAUUGACGUUACCCGCAGAAGAAGCACCGGCUAACUCCGUGCCAGCAGCCGCGGUAAUACGGAGGGUGCAAGCGUUAAUCGGAAUUACUGGGAGUAAAGCGCACGCAGGCGGUCUGUCAAGUCGGAUGUGAAAUCCCCGGGCUCAACCUGGGAACAUGCAUUCGAAACUGGCAGGCUAGAGUCUUGUAGAGGGGGGUAGAAUUCCAGGUGUAGCGGAUGAAAUGCGUAGAGAUCUGGAGGAAUACCGGUGGCGAAGGCGGCCCCCUGGAUCAAAGACAUGACGACUCAGGUGCGAAAGCGUGGGGAGCAAACAG
rnacentral:rRNA from 1 species